UGGGGGGUGGUGUAAUUGGCAACACAGCUGGUUUUGGUCCAGCCAUUACGGGUUCGAUCCCUGUCCCCCCAGCGA
rnacentral:tRNA from 1 species